rnacentral:rRNA from 1 species
CCUACGGGAGGCAGCAGUGAGGAAUAUUGGUCAAUGGACGCAAGUCUGAACCAGCCAUGCCGCGUGCAGGAUGACGGCUCUAUGAGUUGUAAACUGCUUUUGUACGAGGGUAAACCCGGAUACGUGUAUCCAGUUGAAAGUACCGUACGAAUAAGGCUCGGCUAACUCCGUGCCAGCAGCCGCGGUAAUACGGAGGAUCCGAGCGUUAUCCGGAUUUUUUGGGUUUAAAGGGUGCGUAGGCGGAUUGAUAAGUUAGAGGUGAAAUGUCCGGGCUUAACCCUGGAACUACCGCUAAUACUGUUGACCUAGAGAGUAGGUGCGGUAGGCGGAAUGUAUGGUGUAGCGGUGAAAUGCUUAGAGAUCAUACAGAACACCGAUUGCGAAGGCAGCUUACCAAUCUAUAUCUGACGUUGAGGCACGAAAGCGUGGGUAGCAAACAGGAUUAGAUACCCGUGUAGUC